GACGAACGCUGGCGGCGUGCUUAACACAUGCAAGUCGAACGGAAAGGCCCUGCUCUUGCGGGGCUCUCGAGUGGCGAACGGGUGAGUAACACGCGAGUAACCUGCCCCUGACUUUGGGAUAACUUCAGGAAACUGGGGCUAAUACCGGAUAGGAGCUCUUGCUGCAUGGUGGGGGUUGGAAAGUUUCGGCGGUGGGGGAUGGACUCGCGGCUUAUCAGCUUGUUGGGGGGGUAGUGGCUUACCAAGGCUGUGACGGGUAGCCGGCCUGAGAGGGGGGCCGGGCACAUUAGGACUGAGAGACGGCCCAGACUCGUACGGGAGGCAGCGGUGGAGAGUAUUGCAGAAUGGGCGGAAGCCUGAGGCAACAACGCCGCGUGCGGGAUGACGGGCUUCGGGUUGUAAACCGCUUUCGCCUGUGACGAAGCGGGAGUGACGGUAAUGGGUAAAGAAGCACCGGCUAACUACGUG
rnacentral:rRNA from 1 species